CGAGUCUUAACUGGGCGUUAAGUUGCAGGGUAUAGACCCGAAACCCGGUGAUCUAGCCAUGGGCAGGUUGAAGGUUGGGUAACACUAACUGGAGGACCGAACCGACUAAUGUUGAAAAAUUAGCGGAUGACCUGUGGCUGGGGGUGAAAGGCCAAUCAAACCGGGAGAUAGCUGGUUCUCCCCGAAAGCUAUUUAGGUAGCGCCUCGUGAACUCAUCUUCGGGGGUAGAGCACUGUUUCGGCUAGGGGGCCAUCCCGGCUUACCAACCCGAUGCAAACUACGAAUACCGAAGAAUGUUAUCACGGGAGACACACGGCGGGUGCUAACGUCCGUCGUGAAGAGGGAAACAACCCAGACCGCCAGCUAAGGUCCCAAAGUCAUGGUUAAGUGGGAAACGAUGUGGGAAGGCACAGACAGCCAGGAUGUUGGCUUAGAAGCAGCCAUCAUUUAAAGAAAGCGUAAUAGCUCACUGGUCGAGUCGGCCUGCGCGGAAGAUGUAACGGGGCUAAACCAUG
rnacentral:rRNA from 1 species